UGGGCCGGGCGCGGUGGCUCACGCCUGUAAUCCCAGCACUUUGGGUGGCCGAGGCGGGCGGAUCACGAGGUCAGGAGAUCGAGACCAUCCUGGCUAACACGGUGAAACCCCGUCUCUACUAAAAAUACAAAAAAUUAGCCGGGCGUGGUGGCGGGCGCCUGUAGUCCCAGCUACUCGGGAGGCUGAGGCAGGAGAGUGGCGUGAACCCGGGAGGCGGAGCUUGCAGUGAGCCGAGAUCCCGCCACUGCACUCCAGCCUGGGCCACAGAGUGAGACUCCGUCU
rnacentral:lncRNA from 1 species